rnacentral:sRNA from 1 species
GGCUAGGUAACAUAAUGGAAAUGUAUCGGACU